UACGGAGGGUGCGAGCGUUGUUCGGAAUUAUUGGGCGUAAAGCGCGUGUAGGCGGCUUGGUAAGUUGGGUGUGAAAGCCCGGGGCUCAACCCCGGAACUGCACUCGAUACUGCCUCGCUAGAGUCCCGGAGAGGAGAGCGGAAUUCCCGGUGUAGAGGUGAAAUUCGUAGAUAUCGGGAGGAACACCAGCGGCGAAGGCGGCUCUCUGGACGGUGACUGACGCUGAGACGCGAAAGCGUGGGGAGCAAACAGGAUUAGAUACCCCCGUA
rnacentral:rRNA from 1 species